AACUGUGAAUCCCAGUGAUGAUUGAAUCUGGUGAUAUUCUGAAGAAAAGGUCUCUCAACCAUGCUUGUGGCUGUUUCCUUCAUGUGACACUGACUCAACAGGCAUUCUAGGCUUCUGAGUGACACACGGUGACAAUCCUAAAUGUAGGACGUAAUGAUUGUAAUGUAUAUUUUAGGUGUUGGGACAUGUGAAAAGAUUUCUGCUUGUCUGGCAAGGAAAGAGAACAGUCAGGUAAACAGGGGUUCAGGGGAAGAUGCCAAAGACAACUCUCACAUCCUAAUGGUACAGCAUGUUUCAGAUGACCGUUAUUAAAUAGAAAUGCACAGGUUUUCCAGGAAUGCUUAGAGAGGAAGGAUGGUCAGUGGUUAGGGUGCUAGCCUGGGCCACAAGGCUACCCAUGUUCAAUUCCUGUUCCAUCUCAGACUUCCCGGGUGAUUCUGAAGAGGGAAAAACUGGCUGAGCUAUCUGUGGGAAAGCGUGAGUACCCCUCCAAGAGCAGAGCCUGAGGGGAACCCUCUUCAGGGUAGAAAGCAGGCGGUUGCUAGGCAGCCUUCAGUCACGUGGAG